GGCAACAUUGUUUUCUCGAUCAUAUGGCUUAUUAUCUUACUUUUUUUUGGAUAUUGGGUUGCUGGUUUUGCUUCCAGCUGGUACGUCCUUCUUCAGCCGCUUGCAGCCUGCAUAAAUUUUAUAGCAACUAUCAACGAAUUCUUGUCCAAGGUAGUUCAUUUCCCACUGCUUUGCGGGGAAAGAAUAAGGGACGGAAGGGGAUUCAGUUGAUAUUAUUAUAGAAGAUUCGAAAAAAUUGUAAUGAAGACUAUAACGAUUGCCCGCGAAAAAAUGACAGAAAAUUGAAUUAUGAAGAAAAAUUAAAAUAAAUGAAACGUCACCAAAAGGAUAUCGGAGCGCAUUUGUUGAAUAAUCUGUUACAAAGCAUUACCGCGUACUGUUGGCGUAUGCAAGGAACCCAACAAACAUGAAAACGUUACUAAUCUAACUUAUUACUAAUGUACAGGUUUUUACAGGAGAACUGAAUUUAUUGUCGUCGAGGGUAACCUUUAUAAGGAAAUUUAAGGCUGCUAAGUAACGUGUUUUC